GCGGAGGAAAAGAAACCAACAGGGAUUGCCUCAGUAACGGCGAGUGAAGCGGCAACAGCUCAAAUUUGAAAUCUGGCUCCUUCGGGGCCCGAGUUGUAAUUUGCAGAGGAUGCUUCGGGUACGGGUUCCUUCCGAGUUCCCUGGAACGGGACGCCAUAGAGGGUGAGAGCCCCGUCUGGUAGGACACCCAGCCCGUGUGAAGCUCCCUCGACGAGUCGAGUAGUUUGGGAAUGCUGCUCUAACGGGAGGUAUACUCCUUCCAAGGCUAAAUACCGGCUGGAGACCGAUAGCGCACAAGUAGAGUGAUCGAAAGAUGAAAAGCACUUUGAAAAGAGAGUCAAAUAGCACGUGAAAUUGUUGAAAGGGAAGCGCUCGCUACCAGACAUGGGUUCGGCGGUUCAACCGGGGCCACGCCCCGGGGCACUCCGCCGGCCCAGGCCAGCAUCAGCUUUCCGUCGGGGGCAAAGACGUCGGGAAUGUGGCUCCCCUCCGGGGGAGUGUUAUAGCCCGGCGUGUCAUACCCUUCGGGGGGCUGAGGUACGCGCUUCUGCAAGGAUGCUGGCGUAAUGGUAGCUAGUGACCCGUCUUGAAACACGGACCAAGGAGUCAACCUUAUGUGCGAGUGCCCGGGCGUAAAACCCCAGCGCGGAAUGAAAGUGAACGUAGGUGAGAGCUUCGGCGCAUCACCGACCGAUCCUGAUGUCCUCGGACGGAUUUGAGUGAGAGCAUAUAGGGUUGGACCCGAAAGAAGAUGAACUAUGCGUGUGUAGGGUGAAGCCAGAGGAAACUCUGGUGGAGGCUCGCAGCGGUUCUGACGUGCAAAUCGA
rnacentral:misc_RNA from 1 species